rnacentral:tRNA from 1 species
UGUGGAGUGGAGGAGUGGACCACUCGCCGGUCUGUUGAAACCGGAGACGUGGGUUCGAUUCCCACCUCCACAA